rnacentral:rRNA from 1 species
AGCAGUCGCCACGGGAAUACAGAGGGUGCAAGCGUUAAUCGGAGUUACUGGGCGUAAAGGGCGCGUAGGCGGUUACAUAAGUGAGAUGCGAAAUCCCUGGGCUUAACCUGGGAACUGCAUCUUAUACUGUAUAGCUAGAGUAUUGUAGAGGGUAGUGGAAUUUCCGGUGUAGCGGUGAAAUGCGUAGAGAUCGGAAGGAACACCAGUGGCGAAGGCGGCUACCUGGACAAAUACUGACGCUGAGGCGCGAAAGCGUGGGGAGCAAACAGGAUUAGAUACCCCCGUAGUCCCUGUCUCUUAUAC